rnacentral:sRNA from 1 species
AGAAGGGGUGAAAGACGGAGACAUCCUGGUGUUCAGGGCUGAAGAAUCCCCAUUUGCUGUCUGACACUGUUCCUUUUUUCCUCCUGGAGGUUGGAUGGUGGCUGCUGUUGUGGCAAAUGCUGGGCAAAGACUAAAGCUUUCUACAAUGUCCGAACCUCGAGGACUACAAAUGUUUCGAGCCCCGAACAUCAAAUCUUCCAUCUACUGCUGUCAGAUGUCUUGGGGAUUUUCAGAACUCUGAGGAUAGUAGUUUCCCAGGGGAUCUUAUCUCAAUGAAGUAAAAUUUUGAGGCUCCAAUGCUCCUGGACUUUCAGAGGUUUGGGCAGGAAUUCCCAGGAGCCUGAACAUCACUUGGCAGCUUCUGCUCCAGCAAUGGAUGGACCAGGGAAGGAUGACGUACUCUGCUCAAUCCAGCGCAAUAGAAUAGUAUUAUUGCAAUAUAAAACCAAUAUAAGUGGUUGUUCAUGCAACACCGUGUGUUUGGGAGAAGACUGUUUCAAAACCCAAUGUGUGUUCUACUUAUAAAGGGAAUAUCUCAGUUACUGACUGAAUUGUAACUAUCACUGGGCACCAUAACUUCAUAGCAUUACAUGGAAAACUCCUGCCUCAUCAAGAAACCCUAUGAUGUCAGACACCCACACAACGCAACCGGUAUUAUAGGACAAUAUGCUUCUCUGAAGAUGAUUUACAUUGAGCUACCAGACUUAGGUUCUGCUCUUGGUAUUGCCCUCCACUUGGUUGGGAUCAUCCUGGGAUUUUAACUGGGUCACAAGGCCAUAAAACAUGAUCAGUCUCUCAAACUGAUCUGCUUUAUUACUAAUUUCUCCUAUUGCAUAAGUGACAAGUCACCUGCAUUAUUUUACUUCAGAAACUUAUUAUCUUUCCGUGGUGGGGAGGCAGCUGAAUAGGACUCUCCUUCGCAUGUUCAAUAACCCGGAAGUGAAUUGUCUCCCGAAGGCCAUAUUUCCCUUAUGUAACCAACCCACAACACCAUUUCUUCCCUACUCUUUCAGUUUAGCACCCAUCUUGCAGAAGACGGGACUUUUGCUCAGGAACACAACCUGAGUCUUAAAUGUAUAACACAUGGACUAACUUUAUUCUGACCUUAACCCCGGGCCACUGGAACAGCAUCCAACCAAGUUAUUUCAGCCAUCGAGGUUGAUUUGUGAUCAAGGCCCAGACGGUUUCUACCAUCCCCCUGCUUUCUCAGCUCAAAGCUGCAUUUUCUGUUGCUUAAAAAUUUGCAUAUUUUCUCAGUGCCUGUUUCUGAUUCACAAUAAACAAUGCUCAGACCUCCUGCCAAAAAAAUGUCCAAGCGCGAAAUAGUUGCUAUAAUAGUCGUUUUUGUGAUGGCAACUUUGAGCUGUAUGCUUUUAAAUUAUAAUUACUUUUUUUUUCCUACAAAAGAUGUGUAUCUGUCUUGAUUGCUGUGAUUAUGAUUCUAUACCCACAAACAGUUAUAAAAGGCUCAUGUCAUGGCUGUGCCUCAUGAAACCCUUGCUUUUCAGUAAGCAUCCUCUGGUGACCGUAUUAUGCUUGUGUUUAAUUUGCGGCUGAGGAACCUAAUGAGAAGCUAUUAAUCAUUGAACGUGUAUAUAAAAAUGUGUGUCCCUAAAUAAACAGACCAAAGAGGAGAUGCAAGCCCAUUAUUAGCAUGGUGAGAUUUAGAAUUGUAAAAGGGACUUGAAACAAAUAAUCUAGUCGAAUCUAACUUUAUGAGUGACACUCAAAAUCGGAAAAGGGAACAUGCAGUUUCAUCAUUGAAAACACAUCAGGACCAGGAGUCAAGGGACACGAAUUCUAAACCCAAACUUGACACUGAAGAGUUAUGGCAUAUGUUGAUCUGAUUUCCUUGUUUCUCUCUGUUUCCAAACUGCUGUGCAGAAUCAACCCACAGACUAGGGGGGUACUUGGCAGAAAGAGUAGUUAACCGAGGGAGGCUUGAGCCAAGCACGUUACCCAUUCAGCUAGAGCAGCUUGCUUGAGUGUGUUUUAUAUGGUGAUGAUUAUCAAAGGAAGACUUCACCUUUUCACUUCUUGAAGGUUGAUGUUUACUGAUGAGUUUUCCUCGAGGGUUAGAAUCAUGGGUGGAAUGAGAGAGAGAAUAAAGCACAGUGAGGGGUAAUGAGUAGACAUUUAUGUCUAAGAGAUGAGCAAGCACAAGGGAAGGACAGCUACUCUGCUGGGCCCGGGGCUGGGAAAG